rfam:Triticum aestivum genome assembly, contig: Triticum_aestivum_CS42_TGACv1_scaffold_290485_4AL
GACAUGAAGAAGAAGAAAAGAUGACCUAAGAGCAGUGGGCAUGGGAACAUGAUGGAAGGCUAAAGCCCUUGUUCCUCGUCUAACACUAGAGGAGGCUUUGGUUUGAGUUUUUGUGAUGCCUUCCAUGCCUAUUGUUCUCUGGUGUUCCUUCCUCUUCCUUUUGAAU